rnacentral:rRNA from 1 species
ACGCUCGACCCUACGGGGGCAGCAGUAGGGAAUCUUCCACAAUGGACGCAAGUCUGAUGGAGCAACGCCGCGUGAGUGAAGAAGGUCUUCGGAUCGUAAAACUCUGUUGUUAGAGAAGAACACGAGUGAGAGUAACUGUUCAUUCGAUGACGGUAUCUAACCAGCAAGUCACGGCUAACUACGUGCCAGCAGCCGCGGUAAUCUGAGCGGGCUGGCAAGGC